rnacentral:rRNA from 1 species
UACAGAGGUCUCAAGCGUUGUUCGGAUUCAUUGGGCGUAAAGGGCGCGUAGGCGGCGGGGUCAGUCGGGUGUGAAAUCUUGGGGCUUAACCCCGAAACGGCACUCGAAACUGCCCGGCUGGAGGGCCGGAGAGGAGAUCGGAAUUCACGGUGUAGCAGUGAAAUGCGUAGAUAUCUGGAGGAACACCGGUGGCGAAGGCGGCAUCCUGGACCAACACUGACGCUGAGGAGCGAAAGCCAGGGGAGCAAACGGG